UACAGAGGUCUCAAGCGUUGUUCGGAUUCAUUGGGCGUAAAGGGUGCGUAGGCGGCGCGGUAAGUCGGGGUGUGAAAUCUCGGAGCUUAACUCCGAAACUGCAUUCGAUACUGUCGUGCUUGAGGACUGGAGAGGAGACUGGAAUUCCCGGUGUAGCGGUGAAAUGCGCAGAUAUCGGGAGGAACACCAGCGGCGAAGGCGGCGCUCUGGGCCGGGUACUGACGCUGAGGAGCGAAAGCGUGGGGGAGCAAACAGG
rnacentral:rRNA from 1 species